UGGGGAAUAUUGCGCAAUGGGCGAAAGCCUGACGCAGCAACGCCGCGUGAGUGAUGAAGGCCUUCGGGUCGUAAAGCUCUGUCGGAGGGAACGAAUGCUCUUGAGGUUAACAGCCUCGGGAGGUGACGGUACCCUCAAAGGAAGCACCGGCUAACUCUGUGCCAGCAGCCGCGGUAAUACAGAGGGUGCAAGCGUUGUUCGGAAUCAUUGGGCGUAAAGGGCGUGUAGGCGGUAUGUUAAGUCAUGUGUGAAAUCCCUCGGCUCAACCGGGGAACGACGCAUGAAACUAGCAAGCUAGAGUACCAAAGAGGGUGGUGGAAUUCCCGGUGUAGCGGUGAAAUACGUAGAUAUCGGGAGGAACACCUGUGGCGAAGGCGGCCACCUGGUUGGAUACUGACGCUGAGACGCGAAAGCGUGGGGAGCAAACAGGAUUAGAUACCCCCGUAGUCCCUGAGCGGGCUGGCAAGGCGCAU
rnacentral:rRNA from 1 species